rnacentral:rRNA from 1 species
GACGAACGCUGGCGGCGUGCUUAAUGAAUGCGAGUCGAGCGAGAACCGGACUGAGGAAACCUUCGGGUGGAAUCAGUCUGGGGAGAGCGGCAAACGGGUGAGUAACACGUGGGUAACCUGCCCCUCAGACGGGGAUAAUUCGCCGAAAGGCGGACUAAUACCCGAUGGUGAUGUGCCAACACAUGUUGAUACAUCUAAAGGCUCCGGUGCUGAGGGAGGGGUCCGCGGCCGAUUAGCUUGUUGGUAGGGUAACGGCCUACCAAGGCUUCGAUCGGUAGCCGGUCUGAGAGGAUGACCGGUCACACUGGGACUGAGACAUGGUCCAGACUCCUACGGGAGUUAGCAUCAGGGAAUCUUGCGCAAUGGGCGAAAGCCUGACGCAGCGACGCCGCGUGGGUGAUGAAGGCCUGCGGGUCGUAAAGCCCUGUCGGGAGGGAAGAAACAGCACCUUCGGGUGCUUUGACUGUACCUCCGGAGGAAGCCCCGGCUAAUUACGUGCCAGCAGCCGCGGUAAUACGUAAGGGGCCAGCGUUGUCCGGAAUUACUGGGCGUAAAGAGCACGUAGGCGGUUAGGAAAGCGAUAGGUGAAAUCCCCCGGCUCAACCGAGGAACUGCUUAUCGAACUGCCUGACUAGAGCACGGGAGAGGGCACUGGAAUUCCUGGUGUAGCGGUGGAAUGCGUAUAUAUCAGGAGGAACACCGGUGGCGAAGGCUGGUGCCUGGAACGUUGCUGACGCUAAGGUGCGAAAGCCAGGGGAACAAACGAGAUUAGAUACCCCGGUAGUCCUGGCCGUAAACGAUGGACACUAGGUGUUGGAGGUUCGACCCCUUCAGUGCUGUUAAGCUAACGCGUUAAGUGUCCCGCCUGGGGAGUACGGUCGCAAGGCUGAAACUCAAAGGAAUUGACGGGGGCCCGCACAAGCGGUGGAGCAUGUGGGUCAAUGGGAUGAUACGCCGAGAACCUUACCAGGGCUUGACAUGACCCUGAUCCCCUGCGAAAGCAGGUCUUCUGGGCAACCAGACAGGGCCACAGGUGGUGCAUGGUUGUCGACAGCUCGUGUCGUGAGAUGUUGGGUUAAGUCCCGCAACGAGCGCAACCCUCGCCGGAUGUUGCCAGCGGUUAGGCCGGGCACUCUUCCGGGACUGCCGGAGUAAUCCGGAGGAAGGGGGGGAUGACGUCAAAUCUGCAUGCCCCUUAUGUCCUGGGCUGCACACGUGCUACAAUGGCGAGUACAAAGGGUCGCGAAGCCGCGAGGCCCAGCUAAUCCCCAAAAACUCGUCCCAGUUCGGAUUGGAGUCUGCAACUCGACUCCAUGAAGUCGGAAUCGCUAGUAACCGUGGAUCAGCAAUGCCGCGGUGAAUACGUUCCCGGGCCUUGUACACACCGCCCGUCAAGUCACGGAAGCCGACAGCACCCCAAGUCCGCUACGGCGGCCCAAGGUGAGGUCAGUGACUGGG